UUGUUAACCUGUAAUGUUGACGUUUCUGCCAGUGCGGGUCUUAAUUGUGCAAUUUUACGUCAAGCAGCUAAGGUGUUUAAUACAGUAUUUCUGAAAUAAAAACAUGAGCAUGAAAGAAUCAGUAGACAGUAUGGAGUACGUUGCUGCUGGCUGCACUCAGGACUGAUUUCUGACAACACGUCUACAAGUUCUUCAUCAGCCAGCUGUCAAACGAUCCUAAAUAAAGCUGCUACAAGCCAUAUAUCAGAACCCCAAAUCACUAGUUCGCUAAGUUCCAUCUCUGCUUGUCAAUGAAGCUAGUAAAUAGCAGGCACCAUGAGCAGGUCAGCUAAAUCAGCUUAUCAAGUCACUGGCGAGUGGUGACGUUUGGUUUUUACAUCUUUCUCACAAUCUAUUACCAGUGUGCAUCGGUCUGGCAGUGUUUCAUAGGGAAUCAUAUUACUGGGCUGCAUCCCAGUGCUAGAGGCGUCACUACAGACAUCUUGCUUUGAAUCCAGGCUGUAUCACAACCGACCGUGAUUGGGAGUCCCAUAGGGCGGCAUACAAGUGGUCCAGGUUUGGCCGGUGUGGGCUGUCAUUGUAAAUAAUCAUUUGUUCUUAACUGACUUGCCUAGUGAAAUACAGGUUACAUUUAAAUAGUUUAAAAGAAAAUAAACAGCUGGCAUCGGGACCCACCAUCUAGUUGGAGACAGAUUUGGCCCAAAACAGUAGCUAUGUUCUGCUGCUAUGAUGGUCUGUCUCACUGUCUGGAGGUUCUGCUGCUAUGAUGGUCUGUCUCACUGUCUGGAGGUUCUGCUGCUAUGAUGGUCUGUCUGGAGGUUCUGCUGCUAUGAUGGUCUGUCUCACUGUCUGGAGGUUCUGCUGCUAUGAUGGUCUGUCUCACUGUCUGGAGGUUCUGCUGCUAUGAUGGUCUGUCUCACUGUCUGGAGGUUCUGCUGCUAUGAUGGUCUGUCUCACUGUCUGGAGGUUCUGCUGCUAUGAUGGUCUGUCUCACUGUCUGGAGGUUCUGCUGCUAUGAUGGUCUGUCUCACUGUCUGGAGGUUCUGCUGCUAUGAUGGUCUGUCUGGAGGUUCUGCUGCUAUGAUGGUCUGUCUCACUGUCUGGAGGUUCUGCUGCUAUGAUGGUCUGUCUCACUGUCUGGAGGUUCUGCUGCUAUGAUGGUCUGUCUGGAGGUUCUGCUGCUAUGAUGGUCUGUCUCACUGUCUGGAGGUUCUGCUGCUAUGAUGGUCUGUCUCACUGUCUGGAGGUUCUGCUGCUAUGAUGGUCUGUCUGGAGGUUCUGCUGCUAUGAUGGUCUGUCUGGAGGUUCUGCUGCUAUGAUGGUCUGUCUGGAGGUUCUGCUGCUAUGAUGGUAUGUCUCACUGUCUGGAGGUUCUGCUGCUAUGAUGGUCUGUCUCACUGUCUGGAGGUUCUGCUGCUAUGAUGGUCUGUCUGGAGGUUCUGCUGCUAUGAUGGUCUGUCUGGAGGUUCUGCUGCUAUGAUGGUCUGUCUCACUGUCUGGAGGUUCUGCUGCUAUGAUGGUCUGUCUCACUGUCUGGAGGUUCUGCUGCUAUGAUGGUCUGUCUCACUGUCUGGAGGUUCUGCUGCUAUGAUGGUCUGUCUCACUGUCUGGAGGUUCUGCUGCUAUGAUGGUCUGUCUCACUGUCUGGAGGUUCUGCUGCUAUGAUGGUCUGUCUCACUGUCUGGAGGUUCUGCUGCUAUGAUGGUCUGUCUGGAGGUUCUGCUGCUAUGAUGGUCUGUCUCACUGUCUGGAGGUUCUGCUGCUAUGAUGGUCUGUCUCACUGUCUGGAGGUUCUGCUGCUAUGAUGGUCUGUCUGGAGGUUCUGCUGCUAUGAUGGUCUGUCUGGAGGUUCUGCUGCUAUGAUGGUCUGUCUCACUGUCUGGAGGUUCUGCUGCUAUGAUGGUCUGUCUGGAGGUUCUGCUGCUAUGAUGGUCUGUCUGGAGGUUCUGCUGCUAUGAUGGUCUGUCUGGAGGUUCUGCUGCUAUGAUGGUAUGUCUCACUGUCUGGAGGUUCUGCUGCUAUGAUGGUCUGUCUCACUGUCUGGAGGUUCUGCUGCUAUGAUGGUCUGUCUGGAGGUUCUGCUGCUAUGAUGGUCUGUCUGGAGGUUCUGCUGCUAUGAUGGUCUGUCUCACUGUCUGGAGGUUCUGCUGCUAUGAUGGUCUGUCUCACUGUCUGGAGGUUCUGCUGCUAUGAUGGUCUGUCUCACUGUCUGGAGGUUCUGCUGCUAUGAUGGUCUGUCUCACUGUCUGGAGGUUCUGCUGCUAUGAUGGUCUGUCUCACUGUCUGGAGGUUCUGCUGCUAUGAUGGUCUGUCUCACUGUCUGGAGGUUCUGUUGCUAUGAUGGUCUGUCUCACUGUCUGGAGGUUCUGCUGCUAUGAUGGUCUGUCUGGAGGUUCUGCUGCUAUGAUGGUCUGUCUGGAGGUGCUGCUGCUAUGAUGGUCUGUCUGGAGGUUCUGCUGCUAUGAUGGUCUGUCUGGAGGUUCUGCUGCUAUGAUGGUCUGUCUGGAGGUUCUGCUGCUAUGAUGGUCGGUCUCACUGUCUGGAGGUUCUGCUGCUAUGAUGGUCUGUCUCACUGUCUGGAGGUUCUGCUGCUAUGA